rnacentral:rRNA from 1 species
GCAGUCUGCAACUCGACUGCAUGAAGCUGGAAUCGCUAGUAAUCGCGAAUCAGAAUGUCGCGGUGAAUACGUUCCCGGGCCUUGUACACACCGCCCGUCACACCAUGGGAGUUGGAAAUACCCGAAGCCUGUGAGCUAACUUAAAGAGGCAGCAGUCGAAGGUAGAGCCAAUGAUUGGGGUGAAGUCGUAACAAGGUAUC